GGGAAGUGGUUUCAAACUAAAAGAGAGGAGAUUUAGACCGGAUAUAAAGAAGGUUGUUUUGUGUUUUUUUUAAUAGCAAAGUUGGUGAGGCUCAGGAGCUGAUUAUCUGGAAGAUGGUGGAUGCUUCAACCCUGGAGACAUUCAAGCUGUUUGCAGUGCACCCUAGUGCAACCAAGUCUUCUUGAUUAGUAUAUCUGAAAACUGAGUUCUGAGUUGGUGUGGGUACAAAACUUCUAGUAGGGGAAAAUCAGUGAUGAAACAUAGGAUGAUAUUGCAGCCAGCUGAAUCGAUCUACUUCUUGUCUCUGUUUUUAUCUUGGCCUUAGGAAUGACAUAUUUUAUGAAGAUCACAAUGAUGAGCUGGAACAACUAUUUGGAAAGAAUGGGAAUAACAGGAAAUGAAGAAUUUCCUUUUAUAAUUCAGUUGAUUUCAAUGGACAUGCAAAAUCACUUUCCGCUAGGGACAGGUAUUGGAUGCAGCAUUUGCAUAGACUUGUGGUAGAUUUUAUUGUCUUCUGAAUUAAGAGAAGCUAAAAAUAAGUCAGUUUGAAUGAAGGGAAAUUCUUGCCAAGAAUUUACUCCAUGUACAGUUGAAAUGCAUGUACACAUUGUAGUGAAAAUUAGCAAAUGUUAUUUAAUAGAAUAUUUCUCAACAUGUUUGAUGUGAACAUUACAUGUUGUAGAUAUAAUAGUAAUUUCUGAAAUUUGAGCAAAUGGCAGAAAGUGUACUUAAAACUGCAUUGUGAUAGGAAACAGAAACCAUUUGUUUGAAAUACCGGAGCAGAGCCUUGCAAAUAAAGAAGUCAGAAUUGUACCCACUUCUUUUUUUGGUAUGCAUAUGGUGUCUAAUGCUAUCAGGUUGAGGUGUAGUUUCAGCUAUCAGAUGCAUUUUGGAUUCUGGGGAAACUAAAUUGUCUUACUCAUUUCUACUUCUAAGGUGUCCUCCUGUGUGAUCUUCUCCCUGGCAACUUCUUUAGACACUGCUUACACUCCAGUAUACAUGUAUCUCUGCACACAAAGUGAUAGAAACUCAUUCAGUUGGAGUUAGAUGGAAGGCAUCAUGGCAUGUUUCCCCCUGUGUAUACUCUGUAACAUUUUUAUAUAACUAAAACACAAAGUAUCUGCCUACCAUCUUCUUUCAGUGGGUUGAUUACAGUUACCAUACUCUAAGGCAGUACUUGAUCUGACUAAACUAAUCCAUACUUGCAUUCUUUUAAUAUUGAAUAUAUACAAACUGACACAUGUGGAUACAAAAUCCAUCACAGCUUCUGUGACCAACACAAAAUUAAAAUGCUGAGCUUUAAUUAGAUCAGGUCUAGCUCUAGUCUGAAGUUGUGGUU